ACCGUGGAUUAGCACGUUGAGUACACCAGUUCCCAAUGAAUCACUGAAGUUAAGAAGUGUUGCGCGUGGUUAGUGUCCGGAUGGGUGACCAUCUGGGAAAUUGAUUGCUUUUCCCAGUC
rnacentral:rRNA from 1 species